GCCCGGCUAGCUCAAUCGGUAGAGCGUGAGACUCUUAAGGAUCCCCUUCCAGUCUCCUUCAUCUCAAGGUUGUGGGUUCGACCCCCACGUCGGGCU